AGACGCUGGCUCAUGGCAUCAGUCAUCCGAGUUCACUCAAGAGAAACGGUUCAAAAAUGUAUCCAAAUCCUUUCGAAAGAAAACACUCGACGAUCCGUCAGGUGAUCGACAAGUUCCUGAGGCCGGAGGCGAACAACAACCAAAGGAGAACCUCCGGCUACGGAUACAACAGCCCUAAAACUAAAUCUUCCGUCAAGGGGUGGUGACUCUGGGUUGCUAAUCAUUGCCUAUCCCUACGAUGGUGUUAUUCUUCAUACCAAAGAUUGUGAACGGGGAACACUUUAAAGACUAGAAGUCAUUCGUUGAAUGGCAGCACUGAAUCUCAGCCCGGUCACCGACGGACAGCCCCAAUCAGUAUUCACGUUAAUUUAUGACAAAACAUCACAGCAUAUCCAAAUUAAAGCUUUAACUUAUUUAUUACUUAGAGUGCGCUUACGAGACGUAGCCUCUAAAAAAACUUGUUUUAGCUGUUAACCUAAUUUAUUUAUUGUAAUUUAUUGUAAAUAAAAUAAUUUCGAACAAAAAAA